rnacentral:lncRNA from 1 species
GGACCCAUGGGGGGCACCUUGGACCCACGCCUCUGGUGCCAUUCCGACCUCAAAUGGGAGCACAGCCCCCUAUGAUGACUGCGGCAGCACCCGGCAUGUUCGGCGCCCCGGCACCUGCACCGAGCAGCCAGCCUGCUGUCAACGACCCUUUUGGCGCCCUCUGAAGCUUCAGGUGCGGACCCCCCCGGCCCGAGAGGAGCGACAGACGGCUAGUCCCCGCAGUAUUCCCUCCCCCCAGAGGUUAUUUAUGUGUGAGAGAGGGCGCGUGUUUGCGCAGGAGGCUGCGGAGUGUUUGUGCAUGCUGUACAUUUUGUUUCUGCACAUGCCCCCCGUGCUGGCCAGAGAUGACACAUUCCACAGUGUUGCUCUCCCUGGACCCGUGGAGCAGCCCAGCUUUAGGAGUCCUCCCCUCCGGCUGUUUAGCAAGCUAGGCCACCCCCCCUGCUGUGAUGUACUUGUGGAGCAUGCCAAAAUAAAUUUGUUGCCUUAUUACA